rnacentral:misc_RNA from 1 species
GGAGUGCCUGAGCUGUGGCACUCC